rnacentral:lncRNA from 1 species
CACUGCUGAUAACUAUCUUCUUAAAAUAGCACUGGAUUGCAUCACCUAUCCAAAAGCCUUCCAUGGUAUUGCAUGGCAUCCAAAGCUCUCCUAAACCAAGCCCCACCAAACACCAAAAGGACUAUGCUGGAGUCCCCACAUGUACCACUUAUCAGGUCACAGUCAAUGCCAAUGACCUAUAUGGCAAUAGGACAUGCUGAAGUGAGCGGGGCUAGGCAGCAGGUUUCUUCAGUCCUCAGAAUUUUUACUGACAUGGUGAGAGCCACAUUAGAAGAAAGAGAAAUAAUUGUGUGAAGCGGUUGCUGCUGAGUAGUAAGAAAGAGCCACUGUGUGCUUAUUACUGCCUCUGAGCUUGAUUAUUACAGGCUGGGAAGAGGUGUAGGAAGUGGGAGCAAGAAGAGAAAAUAGCUUCACUAUUUUCAAAGAUGUAUUGUUUUAUAAUGCACAUUGAAAUGGAAAUGGAUAACAGUAGAGAUAUGGUUUUAUCCAACCAUAGGAAUUAUUUUCAUAAGAGAAUGAACAAAAUUUAAAAAUACAUUUGGCCAAUAGAUUUUCCCUGAAAUUUGAGAACCCUUAUCUGGUGGAUAUUUGCCACAUGAUUACUAAAUUUAGUGGCAUACUUUUUUUUUUUUUUUUUUGUGAGACGAAGUCUCGCUCUGUCACCCAGGUGGAGUGCCGUGGCGCGAUCUUGGCUCACUGCAACCCCUGCCUCCCGGGUUCAAGUGAUUCUCCAGCCUUGGCCUCUUGAGUAGCUGGGACUACAGGCAUGCAUAGUGGCAUACUCUUUUAAUAGAAACAUUUGUUUCCCAAGAAACUAGGGCCAAGCAUGGUGGCUAAUGCCCGUAAUCCUAGCACCUUGGGAGGCUCAGGCAGAAGGAUUGCUAGAGCACGAAGGUUGAGACUGUAGAGAGCUGUGAUUGCAGCACUGCACUCCAGACUGGAUGACAGAGUGAGACCUGACUCAAGAAGAGGAAAAAAAAAAAAGGAAGGAAGGAAGAAAGGAAGGAAAAGAGAAAGAAACUAGCUGUUUUCCUGAUGUCUUAAAUAGGGGCAUUUUGAUUUUAUCUACUGCUAUAUACUGAUUUUCUCUUGUAAAUAAAUAGUAGGCAGUCAUUAAAGUACCACUACCAAAAAAGUGUUG